rnacentral:rRNA from 1 species
AGAGUUUGAUCCUGGCUCAGAACGUACGCUGGCGGCACGCCUAAUACAUGCAAGUCGAACGAAGUAGCAAUACUUAGUGGCAGACGGGUGAGUAACAUGUAGGUAUCUACCCUUUGGUCUGGAAUAACACGAGGAAACUUGUGCUAAUACCGGAUAAGUCUUUACGGAGAAAGCUUUAUGCACCAUUGGAUGAGCCUGCACUUGAUUAGUUUGUUGGUGGGGUAAUGGCCUACCAAGACAAUGAUCAAUAGCUGAUUUGAGAGGAUGAUCAGCCACAUUGGGACUGAGACACGGCCCAAACUCCUACGGGAGGCAGCAGUAGGGAAUCUUGCACAAUGGAGGAAACUCUGAUGCAGCGAUGCCGCGUGAGUGAAGAAGGCCUUUGGGUUGUAAAGCUCUUUCGUCGGGGAAGAAAAUGACUGUACCCGAAUAAGAAGGUCCGGCUAACUUCGUGCCAGCAGCCGCGGUAAUACGAAGGGACCUAGCGUAGUUCGGAAUUACUGGGCUUAAAGAGUUCGUAGGUGGUUAAAAAAGUUGGUGGUGAAAUCCCAGAGCUUAACUCUGGAACUGCCAUCAAAACUUUUUAGCUAGAGUAUGGUAGAGGAAAGCAGAAUUUCUAGUGUAGAGGUGAAAUUCGUAGAUAUUAGAAAGAAUACCAAUUGCGAAGGCAGCUUUCUGGAUCAUUACUGACACUGAGGAACGAAAGCAUGGGUAGCGAAGAGGAUUAGAUACCCUCGUAGUCCAUGCCGUAAACGAUGUGUGUUAGACGUUGGAAAUUUAUUUUCAGUGUCGCAGCGAAAGCGAUAAACACACCGCCUGGGGAGUACGACCGCAAGGUUAAAACUCAAAUGAAUUGACGGGGACCCGCACAAGUAGUGGAGCAUGUGGUUUAAUUCGAAGAUACGCGCAGAACCUUACCAACACUUGACAUGUUCGUCGCGACUCUAAGAGAUUAGAGUUUUCGGUUCGGCCGGACGAAACACAGGUGCUGCAUGGCUGUCGUCAGCUCGUGUCGUGAGAUGUUGGGUUAAGUCCCGCAACGAGCGCAACCCUCACUUUUAGUUGCCAUCAUUUAGUUGGGCACUCUGAAAGAACUGCCAGUGAUAAGCUGGAGGAAGGUGGGGAUGACGUCAAGUCCUCAUGGCCCUUAUGUGUUGGGCUACACACGUGCUACAAUGAUAUCUACAACAGGAAGCAAGAUGGCAACAUUAAGCAAAUCCUAAAAAGAUAUCUCAGUUCGGAUUGCACUCUGCAACUCGAGUGCAUGAAGCUGGAAUUACUAGUAAUCGUGGAUCAGCGUGCCACGGUGAAUACGUUCCCGGGUCUUGUACACACCGCCCGUCACACCAUGGGAGUUGGUUCUACCUUAAGGCAAAGUUUAAAACCUUUGACCACGGUAUAGUCAGCGACUGGGGUGAAGUCGUAACAAGGUAACC